rnacentral:rRNA from 1 species
AUUGAACGCUGGCGGCAGGCUUAACACAUGCAAGUCGAGCGAGCGGCGGACGGGUGAGUAAUGUAUGGGAAACUGCCUGAUGUAGGGGGAUAACUACUGGAAACGGUAGCUAAUACCGCAUACCAUCAGAUGUGCCCAGAAGGGAUUAGCUAGUAGGUGGGGUAAUGGCGCACCUAGGCGACGAUGCCUAGCUGGUCUGAGAGGAUGACCAGCCACACUGGAACGGAGACACGGUCCAGACGCCGACGGGAGGCAGCAGUGGGGAAUAUGGCACAAUGGGCGCAAGCCUGAUGCAGCCAUGCCGCGUGUGUGAAGAAGGCCUUCGGGUUGUAAAGCACUGUCGGCGGGGAGGCGGUACUCGGAGAAGAAGCACCGGCUAACUCCGUGCCAGCAGCCGCGGUAAUUC